CAAUUCACAUCUUUCCCUUCAUUUGCAGCAGUCACGUGACACGUCUCCUUCUUCUCUCGUCCACACUCAACCCUCCGUCCACCAUCACCGCGCACCAUCACCACCACCUCCAACGUUCAGCCGUUUUUCUUUGAGGCUCUGCUUUAUCUUCACCGGCGACGAGGCCCCACGCUGCGCCUCCUCUGCUCGGAACCCUAGAUUUUCUUCCCGGCCAUGGCGACCGAUUCCCAAAACUCUCACCGCAAGCACAACUGCUCUCUCACCGAUGAUGAUGCAAAGUUGAUCAUCAUCUCAAACAAUUGCCCACCCCUGAGGAAGUCUGAGAUUGAGUACUAUGCUUUGUUAGCUAAGGUCGGAGUUCACCAUUACAACGGAAGUUUUCAAAACUCCAAAGGAGGAGCCCUUUACCAAAAAGAAGUUGGAUGAAGUUCGAGACAAGUGGGCUAUUUACUUCAACGAUUGUGAACUACCCUCAGUGUAAUAAAUAGAGCAGACUUGUAGUUAUUCGUGACUCUUACAUUACUUUUUUAUUUAUCGAUUUAAUUAAUUACAUUUGAAUUAAUUCGGUAAUAUUAUUGGAAAUUUGAAAUUUAUAUCAUUUUUGAGAAU